CCUACGGGUGGCAGCAGUGGGGAAUAUUGGACAAUGGGCGAAAGCCUGAUCCAGCCAUGCCGCGUGUGUGAAGAAGGCCUUCGGGUUGUAAAGCACUUUCAGUGGGGAAGAAAGCCUUGGGGCUAAUACCCUCGAGGAAGGACAUCACCCACAGAAGAAGCACCGGCUAACUCCGUGCCAGCAGCCGCGGUAAUACGGAGGGUGCGAGCGUUAAUCGGAAUUACUGGGCGUAAAGCGCGCGUAGGCGGUCUGAUAAGCCGGUUGUGAAAGCCCCGGGCUCAACCUGGGAACGGCAUCCGGAACUGUCAGGCUAGAGUGCAGGAGAGGAAGGUAGAAUUCCCGGUGGAGCGGUGAAAUGCGUAGAGAUCGGGAGGAAUACCAGUGGCGAAGGCGGCCUUCUGGACUGACACUGACGCUGAGGUGCGAAAGCGUGGGUAGCAAACAGGAUUAGAUCCCCCUGUAGUC
rnacentral:rRNA from 1 species